rnacentral:rRNA from 1 species
GAUGAACGCUAGCGGAAGGCCUAAUACAUGCAAGUCGAACGGGCAUAUUGAUUUCGGUUAAUAUGUUAGUGGCGCACGGGUGAGUAACGCGUACACAACCUACCUUAUAUUGGGGGAUAGCCCAGGGAAACUUGGAGUAAUACCGCAUAAGCCCGCAAGGGGAAAGAUUUAUCGCCUUUAGAUGGGCCCGCGUCUGAUUAGCUAGUUGGUGAGGUAAUGGCUCACCAAGGCGACGAUCAGUAGCUGGUUUGAGAGAAUGACCAGCCACACUGGGACUGAGACACGGCCCAGACUCCUACGGGAGGCAGCAGUGGGGAAUUUUGGACAAUGGGCGCAAGCCUGAUCCAGCCAUGCCGCGUGCGGGACGAAGGCC